rnacentral:lncRNA from 1 species
CCCAACUCUUAAGGUCUGUUUGUUUAGUGCAGCAUCCAAACAGGCCCUUAGCUAGAGAGGGAGCAAACUCGGUUUCUGGAGGGGAUUCCUUUAGCUUGGGCAGCAAGUUGGAGGGGGGAGAGAGAGCGUAUUGAGAGGAAGGUGAUUUUUUUACAGCAACCUAUUAUAUUUUCCUGCACUUCUCUUUACAUUGCUUUUUCUAUUUCUGCGGAUGAACUCAAGGGUGUGUUUGGAUUUGAAGAGGAAAGGUGAGUCUGGAUGAGAGAGAGGAAGAGCAGAUCUACAGAGAGAAAAGGUUCUUGGUGAUUCAACACCUCAUCCUCUUCUGAUUCUCUUUAUUUUUUCCAUUUUCCUUGAGGUAUUUCACCCGUCAAGACUCAAGCUUGGAUUUUCCCGUUUGAUUUCCAUGUCUUUAAGUAAGGUUUUUGUUUUUUUUUAACAGAACAACUCAACAAAAAUCAAAACGGGAAAAAAUCAGGAAUUUUUGGGCUUAUUUUCAUUCUCGUUUCCUAGUUUUCUCAGCAUCCAAACAGGAAAAUAUAAACGAAAAAAAAAAACUAACAGGUGAUCAAAAAAAUCUCAGAUCUCAUUCUAUUUUCAUUCUCGUUUCCUAGUUUUCUCAGCAUCCAAACAGGAAUAUAUAAACGGGAAAAAAAGAAACUAACAGCAGGUGAUAAAAAAAAAAUUCGAAUAACAUAACUGAUAUCUCUUUAUCAGAUCUAACAUUUCCCUCAACAAAUAUUGCCAAAAAAAACCUAUUUUAUUAGAUCUAUAAAAAAUAACUUCAACAUCUGUGGAAAUUACCUUUGUUUCUUGCUGGAGAUGUCGC